rnacentral:rRNA from 1 species
GCAGUCGAGCGACAGACAGGAGCUUGCUCCUUUGACGUUAGCGGCGGACGGGUGAGUAACACGUGGGUAACCUACCUAUAAGACUGGGAUAACUUCGGGAAACCGGAGCUAAUACCGGAUAAUAUUUCGAACCGCAUGGUUCGAUAGUGAAAGAUGGUUUUGCUAUCACUUAUAGAUGGACCCGCGCCGUAUUAGCUAGUUGGUAAGGUAACGGCUUACCAAGGCGACGAUACGUAGCCGACCUGAGAGGGUGAUCGGCCACACUGGAACUGAGACACGGUCCAGACUCCUACGGGAGGCAGCAGUAGGGAAUCUUCCGCAAUGGGCGAAAGCCUGACGGAGCAACGCCGCGUGAGUGAUGAAGGUCUUCGGAUCGUAAAACUCUGUUAUUAGGGAAGAACAUACGUGUAAGUAACUAUGCACGUCUUGACGGUACCUAAUCAGAAAGCCACGGCUAACUACGUGCCAGCAGCCGCGGUAAUACGUAGGUGGCAAGCGUUAUCC